rnacentral:rRNA from 1 species
AUUGAACGCUGGCGGCAGGCCUAACACAUGCAAGUCGAACGAGUGGCGGACGGGUGAGUAAUGUCUGGGAAACUGCCCGAUGGAGGGGGAUAACUACUGGAAACGGUAGCUAAUACCGCAUACCAUCGGAUGUGCCCAGAUGGGAUUAGCUAGUAGGUGGGGUAACGGCUAACCUAGGCGACGAUCCCUAGCUGGUCUGAGAGGAUGACCAGCCACACGGGAACUGAGACACGGGCCAGACUCCUACGGGAGGCAGCAGUGGGGAAUAUUGCACAAUGGGCGCAAUCCUGAUGCAGCCAUGCCGCGUGUAUGAAGAAGGCCUUAGGGUUGUAAAGUACUUUCAGCGGGGAGGCGUUACCCGCAGAAGAAGCACCGGAUAACUCCGUGCCAGCAGCCGCGGUAAUUC